rnacentral:rRNA from 1 species
AAUGAACGCUGGCGGCAUGCCUAACACAUGCAAGUCGAACGAAGGCUUCGGCCUUAGUGGCGCACGGGUGCGUAACGCAUGGGAAUCUGCCCCUUGGUUCGGAAUAACAGUUAGAAAUGACUGCUAAUACCGGAUGAUGACGUAAGUCCAAAGAUUUAUCGCCGAGGGAUGAGCCCGCGUAGGAUUAGCUAGUUGGUGUGGUAAGAGCGCACCAAGGCGACGAUCCUUAGCUGGUCUGAGAGGAUGAUCAGCCACACUGGGACUGAGACACGGCCCAGACUCCUACGGGAGGCAGCAGUGGGGAAUAUUGGACAAUGGGCGAAAGCCUAAUCCAGCAAUGCCGCGUGAGUGAUGAAGGCCUUAGGGUUGUAAAGCUCUUUUACCCGGGAUGAUAAUGACAGUACCGGGAGAAUAAGCUCCGGCUAACUCCGUG